AGAACGACUCUCGGCAACGGAUAUCUCGGCUCACGCAUCGAUGAAGAACGUAGCAAAAUGCGAUACUUGGUGUGAAUUGCAGAAUCCCGUGAACCAUCGAGUUUUUGAACGCAAGUUGCGCCCGAAGCCAUUUGGUUUAGGGCACAUCUGCCUGGGCGUCACG
rnacentral:rRNA from 1 species